CGGUACUGGCUGGCAGUGAACUGCGAGUGAGGAGAGCUGCUGAUCGUCUCAGCUCCUGAAAGAAAAACCGAAACAAACUCAGGAGAGAGAAAAGGAAGUGCGACAUGCAGACAGACUUUCAGCAGCCUGUUCAUACUAGUUGAAUCCGUGUCCCUGCCGCUGCCUGGUGCCAGACCCAGCAGAUGCAGCUUCAGGCUCUGCAGCCCUGUCUUCUCAUUAAUGUCCACAGCCAUACUAAUGAACCAGCCCUGCUGCCAACUGAAGAAAAAGACUGACCUUGACGGAUGAGCUUGUUUCUGGAGCGUAUUGAAUUGAAAACGGUUCUGCUCACCAAUCCGAGGAAUGCUCUCAUGGACCCAGGAGCUGCAGCAUGACAGGAAGGCUUAGGCUGCCUUCUUCUGUAGAAUAAAAAAUCUCCUUUUGCCAGGCACAUUUAUGGAGUCAAGUCACCAAUGCAUUACAGUUCAAACAUUGUACUCAUCGUAACAGUUGUACACUUAUUGAUUUGUUUCAAAGAAGUGAUGGCCAGAGAAUUGCAUUAAUCAGCUGCUUUGUCAUCAGAACGGCUCUGGCUGGUGCCUGAGUUGACACCAUGUGUCAAAUCUGGCUGUGACAAGUCAGAACAAAUAAGUCUCUCAUGUCUCAAAGGCACACUUAUCACGGCCUUGUUCAACAUCAUAAACUAAACCUGACUGCCUGCUUUCUGCAAAUCAAUCUAUUUCUUUUUUUUUUUGUCAUGAAUGUGAAAUCAUUAGGAGAUUGACUAAAUGAUGAGCAGGAAGCGACAGUGAUUAGGGGGGAUGAAAUUAUAAUUUUGCUGUCUUUUAUUUCUUGUUAAGAAAUCCUGUUAAUAGAUUUUGUUGUAAUCACAUGGUUAAGAGGCAAGAAAGAAAAGGCAAUUGUUACAAAGACUGACUGAAAUAGA